AUACGGAGGGUCCAAGCGUUAUCCGGAAUCAUAGGGUUUAAAGGGUCCGCAGGCGGUCAAUUAAGUCAGAGGUGAAAGCCCAUCGCUCAACGAGGGAACUGCCUUUGAUACUGGUUGACUUGAGUUAUACGGAAGUAGAUAGAAUAAGUAGUGUAGCGGUGAAAUGCAUAGAUAUUACUUAGAAUACCGAUUGCGAAGGCAGUCUACUACGUAUAUACUGACGCUGAGGGACGAAAGCGUGGGGAGCGAACAGGAUUAGAAACCCUAGUAGUCC
rnacentral:rRNA from 1 species